rnacentral:rRNA from 1 species
AUACCGCGUGUGGUGAAGAAGGCCCGAGGGUUGUAAAGCACUUUCAAUUGUGAAGAAAAGUUAACGGUUAAUAACCGUUAACCUUGACGUUAACUUUAGAAGAAGCACCGGCUAACUCCGUGCCAGCAGCCGCGGUAAUACGGAGGGUGCAAGCGUUAAUCGGAAUUACUGGGCGUAAAGCGUGCGUAGGCGGUUUAUCAAGUCAGAUGUGAAAUCCCCGGGCUUAACCUGGGAACUGCAUUUGAAACUGGUCAACUAGAGUAUGGUAGAGGAAAGUGGAAUUUCUGGUGUAGCGGUGAAAUGCGUAGAUAUCAGAAGGAACAUCAAUGGCGAAGGCAGCUUUCUGGCCCAAUACUGACGCUGAGGUACGAAAGCGUGGGUAGCAAACAGGAUUAGAUACCCUGGUAGUCCACGCCGUAAACGAUGAUAACUAGCCGUUGGGGGGAUUUACCCUUUAGUGGCGAAGCUAACGCGUUAAGUUAUCCGCCUGGGGAGUACGGCCGCAAGGCUAAAACUCAAAGGAAUUGACGGGGACCCGCACAAGCGGUGGAGCAUGUGGUUUAAU